rnacentral:rRNA from 1 species
AUGAAUUGCUUGGCCUGGAACUAUCGGGGACUGGGGUUGGACUCGACAGUAGGCGAACUUCAAGACUUGAUAAGGUCUUACAACCCAGCGGUGGUUUUUUUGUCGGAGACAAAGAAGAGUGACAGAGCUAUGGAGAAGCUUAAGUGGAGGUUGGGAUUUCGAAAUGGUGUGGCAGUGAGUUGUAACGAGAGAAGUGGUGGGCUUGCAUUAUGGUGGAGAGACCAU